rnacentral:rRNA from 1 species
AUUGAACGCUGGCGGCAUGCCUUACACAUGCAAGUCGAACGGCAGCACGGGAGCAAUCCUGGUGGCGAGUGGCGAACGGGUGAGUAAUAUAUCGGAACGUGCCCAGUCGUGGGGGAUAACGCAGCGAAAGCUGUGCUAAUACCGCAUACGAUCUACGGAUGAAAGCGGGGGAUCGCAAGACCUCGCGCGAUUGGAGCGGCCGAUAUCAGAUUAGCUAGUUGGUGGGGUAAAGGCCCACCAAGGCGACGAUCUGUAGCUGGUCUGAGAGGACGACCAGCCACACUGGAACUGAGACACGGUCCAGACUCCCACGGGAGGCAGCAGUGGGGAAUUUUGGACAAUGGGCGCAAGCCUGAUCCAGCAAUGCCGCGUGCAGGAUGAAGGCCUUCGGGUUGUAAACCGCUUUUGUACGGAACGAAACGGCCCUUUCUAAUACAGGGGGCUAAUGACGGUACCGUAAGAAUAAGCACCGGCUAACUACGUGCCAGCCGCCGCCGUAA